rnacentral:lncRNA from 1 species
UCUUAUGAAAUUAUAUUUUUUGAUUCUGUAUAAGAAUCUCAAUGUUUUAUUUACGUAAGUACAUAUAUACCCAUAUAAUUUUUAAAAAUAUAAGGAUUAAAAUAUUAAAAAUAAUUAAUUGUAAAAAAUAAUAUGUAAUUAGUCCAUUAAUCCACAUGGACCAUACUACAUAGUGGGUCGGAUUCAGAUCGGGUAAAGCUCCCCGCUCAAGAAGAAAUUCUGAACGGUGAGAUAUUGCUGUAAGAUUUGCGCUCGAUCAGGUGCUGCUCCGGACACGGUCGGAGAAGCGGUACGAACCCUAUACCUCUUCGGCCGAUCUUUUGCUCCCCCGUCGAGUCGUCUUUUCCUCUGGUGGCGCUCGAGGCCCAGGGUUCCGAUUCGCAGUGCGAGGCAUCGUAUUAAGCGGUAAGCAAUCAUCUCCCACUUCAAAUUUUACGUGAAUCGGAUCAACAUAGCUACUGCUCUCGAGUAGAUCUGUGCGAUUCAUUGAGAAAAAGCAGGAAUCUUAUUUCUUACUCGGGUCGAGCUCGUGAAACGUGAAUCUUGACACCUUGUUCUUGCUAUAAUUUCAUUCAGGUUUUUCGUUCAGUAAUUCAAGAAAGUUCGAAUCUUGUUCUUGAGUAAAACCCUCAUCUCUAUUGGUUUGAUCGAAACUAGAAAUACAAGAAGCAGGAUUUUCUCUGCUCCUUGCGCUCCCAUUCCUUUAGUUUGGCUUCGAGGCAGACUCUUUAAUGUUCUUCCUCAUGAACCCAGGAAAUGGCCACCUUCUUCUCUGGUAAUUGGCAGCUGUUCUCAUUCUUUCCUAUGCAUCCAUCUUCGGAUAUUGUCUACUACCAAAUCAUUUUACUUCACUUAAUAAAGCUCAGAAUUUUGGGUGAGUAGCUGAUGCAGAAGUAGGUUUUCUUUUCCACUGCUUUGGGUGCAAUCUUAUUUGUUUAAAGAUUUCUCUUCUGGCGCCACUAUAUAGCUUUUUUGGAUUUCAUGUCAGCUUUAGGCUCAUCUUGAGAAGAGUUGUCUUUGUCAAAAUCCAUUUGCAUUUUUUCCCACACAGAAUUUUGUUUUCGUGCUGUAGUAUAUUUCCUUUAUAGAAGCAUUGCUUUUACUAUUCGAAGGAGAAAUCCAUUUAGCUCUCUCUCUCAAAUCUUCAUUUGACCACGUUGAAUCUUGAAUUUCGACGAUGAAACUAAUUAAUAAUGUUACGAUCUAAUCUGAGUGACGCAGGACUAGCUUCGAUCAGAAAAGAUAAAUUGAAUAAAGCAGGAGGAAUCAGAUGUUGGACCGAAGUUAAACAUGUCAGAAAAUUGGAGGAUCGAUCGACGUAUAGGCAGGCAGAAGGCUUCAUACCGUGAAUUCGGGCAUCGGGCCGAAGGAUUGGACAUUGCGCCAAAGACAUGUCGGACAACAAAUGAUUCGUGCUUUAUAAUAAUUUGUCUAGAUAGAAGUCGUAAUUGGGUUGGUUUAGAAUGUAAUUAAGUUAACUCAAAUAGGGGUCAAUUGGGCCCAAAGCGGAGCUGUUUUGGGCCAAAUGAAAUGCCCAUUCACUAACCCAAAAGUUGGGUCAUGCAAUGGUACCGCCAGAUUAGGCGGUACCUUCAAGCGGUGGUACCGCCCAGACACAGUCUUCUAGACUGUGUCAAGCGGUGGUACCACCUAGUGUCAGUGUUGCAGGCGGUAGUAUCGCCCAGCACAGGCGGUGGUACUGCUAGGACCGGGGAAAUCCGAGAUGAGACCUUUUUUGGCUCUCAUUUUGAAGUCAUUUGAGGUCUAUAAAUACCCUAGCUAUUCCUGCAUGGAGAAGCAAUAAUUUGAGCAGAAAGAGGUUAUUAUUCUAAGUUGAAAAAGUACUAAGUGUCCUCCUCCUCUUUAAGUUUCGGGCUUAGUCUAAGAGAGGUAUGAAGUGUUAGGAUCGGAGCGGCACUAAGAGGAGGAGGGGGGGGAGGGGGGUGUGAAUUAGUGUAGCGGAUUAAAACUCGUAAGUUUGAAAACGAUUUCGAUUCGACAAUGAAUGACUUGGUGAAAGUAGCUCGAGUAAAGUGAGAAGAUAAAAACCGAAAGCUUGCUGCUAUGUAAAUAACGGUUUAAGAAAGGUAAACACUCACACAUUCAAAGAACACACCAAUUUAAAGUGGUUCGGUCAAAAUGACCUACAUCCACUUGCGAAGCCUUCUUCGAUGAGACUCCCAACUUCCACUAGCAAAUCACUUUGAAUGGGAAGGACAAAUACCCUUCUUACAACCUUUUACAAGUGGUUCACACUCUUACAUAUUUUCAAAGAGAAAGAGGGAGGUGAACACUUAAGCUAUUGAAAACAAGACUUGCUAAAGACUUUGCUAAGGCUUUAUCUCAAUCUCUAACUUCUCAAAGGUUGUUGUCUCUGCUGAGAAUUGACGGGUAUUUAUAGACCCCAAGAGGAUUCAAAUUUGGGCUCCAAAUUUGAAAUACUUUUGGGUUCCCGAUGCUGGCGGUGCCACCACUUGUCAAUGUCUGACACUAACAGUGUACUGGCGGUGCCACCGCCCAGUCCGACGGUGCCACCGCCCAAUCCGGCGGUACCACCACCCGAUCCUUCGGGUUCUGGGCGGUGCCACCGCCUAGACUAUUUCAGCUCACUGGUUGGGCUCCAAACUUGGCCUAAACUUGGGCCCAAUUGGCCCCUAACCGGGUUAUAGGAUUAACCCUUAAUCCUAACCCUAAUUACAUGCAAACUACAAAAUUAAGACAUAGUCCUAAGCAAGUUUUUAACCGACAACGUCGAGUUUCCUUCCUGCAAGCUUUCCGGCGAACUUCCAGCGGACUUCCGAUACACCCUCGGAUUUCUUCCGGCGGACUCCCAGUAGGCUCCCGAUCUUGUGGCGAGUUCAGCGAGUAGCCGAGCCUUCUCGGUGAUAUUUGCAAACUUUCGUCGAUCUCUUCGGCGGACUUCUGAAAACUUCGACAAGUCCCCGAUUUCUUCUCGGUUGGUUCCGGCAGCAUCUCCGACGAAUCUUCGGACUCUCGACGGACUCUCGAACACCCAUCGAACUUGACUCCGGUAGACUUACUUUAUGUCUUUAAGCUAUCGUUGUUAAUCCUGCAUACUUAAAACAAAACUUUGAUCGAGACAAUUAAUCCUCGGCACAUCAUCCUCUCUUGCGGCCUAUUGCCCAAUCGGCCAGUUGACUCCGCAACUCCGAUAUCCUUGGCACAAUCUCCGCUCUUCUUGGCCCGAUGCCCGAAUCCACGGCUCGAAGCCUUCUGUCGAUACGUCGACCGAUCCACCGGCCCGACGUCCAAUCUUCUGACAUGUUCCUCCAGCACAACAUGAUUUUCCUGCUUUAUUUGUCUCAUCCUGAUCGAAGCAUCCUGCGUCACUCAAAAACGUAGAUUAAAUCAUAAACAUAUAUCAAGUGGUUUCAUCAUCAAAAUACGAGAUUCAACAUGAAGCUUGUAAGGGUUGUCUCCCAAACCUGUGAAAAGGAGAAAGAGUGUAAAAGGGUAGUUGGUCUUUGCCUAUUGAAGGAAGACCGGUAGUGGAAGCCGGUGGCCUCGAGUGAAGAGGAAUCUAUAAUGGAUGUAGGUCACGACGACCGAACCACUAUAAAUCGAUUUGCAUUUUUGUUUUGCUAUUUUCCUUUAUUGCAAACUGCUUUACUUCCUCAUUAAUUUAGCUGCACACUCUUACGAACGUUUUCAAAGUUAAACAUUGUCGAAACGAUUUUAUCGUACGAAGAUUUUCAACUCGACGUGAUUUUUACAUACCAUUAAUUCACCCCCAACACCCCCCUCCCACCCCCCCUCCCCCCCCACCCUCUCAUUCGAUCCUAAUAGUUGGUAUCAGAGUCACGUUUUUCUCAUUUUGGUUAACACCAAAGAGAAAUAACUCUUUUAUAUGAAGCCAAGUGACAUGUACACUCGUUUUACGGAUGUCGUCAAUAGUUUAAAAGCACUUAGUAAAAGCUUUUUAAAUCUUGAACUUGUCAAUAAAAUUCUACGUUCUCUCCCUAAAAAUUGAGAUCCUAAAGUAACUGUAAUAUAAGAGGUAAAAGACUUAAAUAAGUUCUCACUCGAAGAACUUUUUGAGUCAUUAAUGACCUAUUAAAUGAUGUGCAAGACACAUGAUGAACUUGAUGAACAUGAGAACAACCUUUCAAAGAAUAGGAAAGAUUUGACACUUCAAACAAUAGAAUACCACUUGAGUGAUAACUCUAAGUGAUGAUGAUGAUGACCUUGAACUUCUCACAAUAAAAUUUAAAAAGUUCUUAAAACAAAAAUCAAAGAAUAAAAAUAAACUUAAAAAGAAGAAUCUGCCAAAGAAGAAGAAAGUUUUCGAGGUUGCUUGGGACGAAUCGAGCUCAUUCGAAGACGAGAGGCAAACCAACAAAGACAAGGUGACGAAUUAUGUCUUAAUGACUUUCGACAACGAGAUAACCAAAACCCCCUUAGUUUACUAGGAAAUUACUUGAUGCAUUUCAUAAAUUGUUUUUAAAUUAGUAUAUAAAAUAUAAAAAAAUAAAUAAAAGAGGAUCAUGCUUUUCUUGCUAGUGUUUUUGAAAAAUUAAAAAAAAUUGAUCAUGACAUUUGUUUUUCUUUAUGAUAAAGGAUCAAAGUAUUAGAUUUAAAUCUAAUGCUUGUACACCUAAUAAUAUUAAUCGUAUGUAUGCUUUUAAGAAACAAUAAUGUGUAUCUUGAUGAUUUUUGUAUUGCUUUUUUAUUUUGAUUGAAAAUACUUUAUGUUUAAUAAAAACAUGUUUGCUGUUUUAACGAUGUAAUGAAGUAAUAAUAUGUAUAUUCUCAUAUUGCUUUUCAAUUAUAAAUGAUGAUGCAUGGCCUUUGUAUGAAAAACUAGAGCAUGAAAUCAAUCAUAAAAUUUGGAACUAAAAGAACUAGAGUUAUUUUUAAUCUUAUAGGAAUCUAUCUACGUUGCUUUCAUUGAAUUUUUCGAAAAGUAAUUUUGAUGAUGAUUCAUUUUAAUAAUGAGAUGAUAUAUAUCCAAAUGAAUCAUUUAUCGAUGUUUGCGACAUGAGAUUUAUUUUAUAUGAAAUAUUUUUUCUUGAUUCACGUAUGAUUUACUCGUCUAAGAGAAGAUUUAUCCAAAUGAAUCUUGAUUCUUGACAUUAAUAAUUUAAGAUUUAUUUGAAUCAAAAUAUCUUAUUUGAUCUCCUAUGAUUCUAUUCAUUAUUUAUUAAAAAGGAGAUUUGUGAAGAUGAAUCAUUCAUGAAUUGAUCUUUCAUAUUAAUAUCUUUCAUGUCAUUUUUUUUAUAUGACUCAUUUGUAAUUAUGAUUUGUAUUUCUCAUGAUAUAAUUGAAUCAUUGAUUAAAAAAAAAGAUAGAUUAAUGAAUCUAUCUAUGUCUUUUUUUAAUAAAUCUCUUGAAAAUGAUUUUGAUGAUUUGACGAUUUGAAUUUGAAUUAGUCUUAUCUAUAACAUGAUCUUAAUUUUUUUUGAAUUAUAACAUGAUAUUUUUUAUGAAUUAAGAUCAUUUACUAUGACUCUUCCUUUCGCUGUUUGAGUCAUCCAAAAAGAAUCAUAAUUUUUCUCUUAAUUUUUCGACAUUCACAAUUUGAAAUUUGGUUCAUGACUCUAUUCAUGAAGUAUAUAUCUCAUCAUCCAAUUAUUUUUUUCUUGAUAUUUUUCAUGUGAUGAUAUGAAAUUUUGCAUGAAAUACUCAUGAUAUUAUGUUGAUGCAUUCAAAUGAGAAGUUAUGAUCUAUGCUUGGUAGGAUGCAAUGUAAUUUGAUAUUUUGAUAUCAUCAUAAUUUGAAAUAUUUAUGAUUUGGAAUGAUACAUACAAUACUUAUGAUUUUUUUAUGAAAUGAUGUGAAAGUUAACAACUAUCAUUUUCUGAAAUGAUACCUUAUUUCAGUAUGCCAUAUUGAAAUAAGACUGAUACUUUAUCCUUCUCAUGAUUUAGAAUUUGAUGUAAAGGGAAAAGAAUUACAACAUUGUAUUCUUCCCUUCUUUUUGAUAAUGAUAAAAUGGGAGAAAAAUUUGCUAACUUGCACAUUACAAAAGGAAAACUUGCUAGGAAGCAAAAUUGCUAGAUUGCACUUCUCAAAAGAGAUGAAAGAGCUUGUUAUCUUGAACAUCACCAAGAAUUACUAGAUUGCAAUCUCAAGAGAAGCAAAAGUGUUAUCUUGCUUAUCUCAAGAAGCAAUUCUCGCAAACUUUCAUAUCUCAAAAAAAGAAGCUAAAUUUACAAACUUGCACAACUUAAAAUUGUUGCUAGUUUGUAUGUUGUAAAACUUACAUAUCUUAAAAACUUACUGGAUGCACUUCUCUUUUUUUGUUGAUGACAAAGGAGGAGAAGUAAUGAGGAUGAUUUGAAUCAUGUGUGGUAUGAUGCAUUUUUAUAUUUUGAAACAUUGCAUGAUUUUUUGAAUUUAAAGGUUCUAUCAAUAUGACAUAUUUAUAGGGGGGUUAAGGUUAACUCCGUCAUCAAUUGGUUGCCAUCAUAAAAAAAGGGAAGAUUGUUGAAUCUCAGAUUUUGAUGAUGAAACCAAUUGAUAAUGUUAUGAUCUAAUCUGUAUUUUGAGUGACGCAGGACUAGCUUCGAUCAGGAGAGACAAAUUGAUUAAAGCAGGAGGAAUCGGAUGUUGGGCCGGAGUUAAACAUAUCAGAAGAUUGGACGUCGGGCCGGAGGAUCGGUAGACGUGUCGACAGAAGGCUUCGUGCCGUGAAUUCGAGCAUCGGGCCGAAAGAUCGGAUAUUGAGCCAAGGAGAUCGAAAGUUGCGGGUGUCAACAUGCCGAUUGGGCAAUACGCCGAAGGAUCAGACGAAGUAUCGGAAGAACCAAUGACAUGUCGGACAACGGAUGAUUUGUGCUUUGUAAUAAUUUGUCUAUCUCGAGUUAGUUUAGGUCGUAAUUGGGUUAGUUUAGAAUGCAAUUAAGUCAAUUCAAUUAGGGUCCAAUUGGGCCCAAAGUAGGAUUGUUUUGGGCCAAGAGAGAGACCCAUUUAGUGACCCAAAAAUUAGGUCAGGCGAUGGCACCGCUAGUGGCUCAAUCUCCGAGACACGGUCUCCAAGAUUGUGUCAGGCAAUAGUACCGCCAGAUUGAGCGGUGGUACCACCUAGACCACCGCCUAGUAUGGCGGUACUAUUGCCCAGACACAAUCUUCCAAUUUGUGUCAAGCGGUGGUAUCGCCCAGUGUCAGUGCUGCAUGCAGUAGUAUCGCUCAACACAGGCGUUGGUACCGCCAAGACCCGGGAAACCCAGGAUGAGAACUCUUUUGGCUCUAAUUUUGAAGUUAUUUGGGGUCUAUAAAUACCCCAGCUAUUCCUGCAUGGAGAAAUAAGAAUUUGAGCAGAAAUGUGUUGUUAUUCUAAGUUGAAAAAGUGCUAAAUGUCCUCAUCUUUAAGUUUCGGGCUUAGUCUAAAAGAGGUGUGAGGCUUGUAAGGGUUGUCUCUUAAACCCGUGAAGAGAAGAAAAUGUGUAAAAGGGUAGUUGGUCUUUGCCUAUUGAAGGAAGACCGGUAGUGGAAGCCGAUGGCCUCAAGUGAAGAGGAAUCGAUAGUGGAUGUAGGUCACGACGAUCGAACCACUAUAAAUCGGUUUGUAUUUCUGUUUUGCUAUUUUCCUUUAUUGCAAACUGCUUUACUUCCUCGUUACUUUAGUUACAUGCUCUUACGAACGCUUUCAAAGUUAAACAUUGUCGAAAUGAUUUUAUCGUAUGAAGUUUUCGACUCGACGUGAUUUUUACGUACACAUUCCCCCCCUUUUAGUGCAGACUCGAUCCUAACAUAGUUCUUUUUCUUGGGCAUCCUUGUUCAAUGAACUAGAAGUCAUGCAAUGCAUCUAAAUAUUCCACCAUGACGAAAAGGUAUGACUCUUCAUCUUGUGCUUCAAUUUCUCCACUAAUUGGAAUGAAUGCCUGCUUUGACCCCUGAGAUUCUAGCAUAUCAUUAACCCACCAGUCAUCAGUUCAUUGCGGAAGUUAAUAUUGUAUGUUCGUUUAAGAAAUUGGUGGUUGGGCAUUUGCUCAGCAUGUUUUGCUGUACUUUAUGGACAUUAAUAGCUUGUGUUGUUUCUUUAGUGCUUGACAGAAUUUGUAUCCAUCAGUUUACUACUACAGGUUGUUUCAAUCUUAUGUUCCCUAAAGCAGCCAAGUAUAUAUAUGAUGCUCCAUAGAAUCAAACUAGUAUCAUCCUGAUGCAUCUGUAUAGGCCAAGUCUGAUGCUUUUAGUUUUUGGUUUUGCCUUCUCCAUUUGUCUGCUGUAUUUGCCUCAGGUUUUACAUCUCAAAGAUGAUUGAAAUUUGAUGAGCCUAAACUACUAAAUCAAAGUACUUACUAUAGUCAUAUAAUCCUAUAUAUCAAUUCAGUUUAUCCUAUUAACUAAUAUCUGUUCUGAUAAUAAUUAUCAUAAUCUCGAUUGAUGAGAUAGUUGAUUUAUCACCAUGUUGCGUAUAAACCACUCAAGUUGAGAUAGUUUCAUAUAAUUCCUAUACUUCCUGUAACUUAAUUCAAUUGUUCUCUCACAUCUGAUAUGAAGUUUAAAUUGGAGUAUCACAUCAAAUAAGUUUAGUUAUGUUUUUUCUGUUAUAUAUUCAGAAGCAUUUUCUUUCUUAUUUGUUUUGUUUUCUUAGUUCUUAUUAGGUGUAAUUUUGUUUUCUGUUAGUUUAGUUUGUUUUAUGUAUGUAUAUGAUUCAUUGAUUCUACAAUGAACUUAAAAUAUAUUUUAAAAUUUUAAAUAUCUAAAAUAUGCGUAAAUUUCUUAUGAUUUCGAUAUUAAAUAAAAUAUGUUCGCGUUUGUGAUUGAAAUCCAACAUCAAUCAAUUGAUGGACAUUAGCUACAAACUUUUG